GUAGCGUAUAUUAAAGUUGCUGCAGUUAAAAAGCUCGUAGUUGAAUUUCUGCUUGUUAGAGUCGAGUCCUCGCGGACAAGAUUUCUUCGAGCAUCUGUUUGCAAUCAUAUGUUCGGCCUUCACUGGUUGACUAUGUGAGCAAACGUUUUACCUUGAGAAAAUUAGAGUGUUCCAGGCAGGCUUCAGCCGGAAUACAUUAGCAUGGAAUAAUGGAAUAGGACUGGGGACUAUUUUUGGUUUGAGGCUCCAGUAAUGAUUAAUAGGAACAGUCGGGGGCAUUAGUACUUGACAGUCAGAGGUGAAAUUCUUGGAUUUGUCAAAGACUAACUAAUG
rnacentral:rRNA from 1 species